rnacentral:tRNA from 1 species
GGGCCGGUAGCUCAAUGGCAGAGCAAGUGACUCUUAAUCACUUGGUUGGAGGUUCGAGUCCUCCCCGGCUCACCA